rnacentral:rRNA from 1 species
AUUGAACGCUGGCGGCAGGCUUAACACAUGCAGGUCGAGCGGAGAGAGGUAGCUUGCUACUGAUCUUAGCGGCGGACGGGUGAGUAAUGCUUAGGAAUCUGCCUAUUAGUGGGGGACAACAUUUCGAAAGGAAUGCUAAUAACGCAUACGUCCUACGGGAGAAAGCAGGGGAUCUUCGGACCUUGCGCUAAUAGAUGAGCCUAAGUCGGAUUAGCUAGUUGGUGGGGUAAAGGCCUACCAAGGCGACGAUCUGUAGCGGGUCUGAGAGGAUGAUCCGCCACACUGGGACUGAGACACGGCCCAGACUCCUACGGGAGGCAGCAGUGGGGAAUAUUGGACAAUGGGCGGAAGCCUGAUCCAGCCAUGCCGCGUGUGUGAAGAAGGCCUUAUGGUUGUAAAGCACUUUAAGCGAGGAGGAGGCUACUUUAGUUAAUACCUAGAGAUAGUGGACGUUACUCGCAGAAUAAGCACCGGCUAACUCUGUGCCAGCCGCCGCGGUAAAAC